UCAGGUGCCUAUAUCGGCGGUGUCCACCUCUUCCCAUUCCGAACAGAGAAGUUAAGCCCGCCAGAGCCGAUGGUACUGCCGUAAAAGGUGGGAGAGUAGGUCGGUGCCAAAU
rnacentral:rRNA from 1 species